rnacentral:rRNA from 1 species
AGGUGUGCUCGAAAGAGAGCCGUAACACAGGUGCUGCAUGGCUGUCGUCAGCUCGUGUCGUGAGAUGUUGGGUUAAGUCCCGCAACGAGCGCAACCCUUGUCAUUAGUUGCUACAUUUAGUUGAGCACUCUAAUGAGACUGCCGGUGACAAACCGGAGGAAGGUGGGGAUGACGUCAAGUCCUCAUGGCCCUUAUGGGUAGGGCUUCACACGUCAUACAAUGGUACAUACAGAGGGCCGCCAACCCGCGAGGGGGAGCUAAUCCCAGAAAGUGUAUCGUAGUCCGGAUCGCAGGCUGCAACUCGCCUACGUGAAG